rnacentral:rRNA from 1 species
UACGGGGGGGGCAAGCGUUGUUCGGAAUUACUGGGCGUAAAGGGCUCGGAGGCGGCCAACUAAGUCAGACGUGAAAUCCCUCGGCUUAACCGGGGAACUGCGUCUGAUACUGGAUGGCUUGAGUUUGGGAGAGGGAUGCGGAAUUCCCGGUGGAGCGGUGAAAUGCGUAGAGAUCGGGAGGAACACCAAAGGCGAAAGCACUCUGCUGGGCCGCAACUGACACUGAGAGACGAAAGCGAGGGGAGCAAAUGGG